rnacentral:rRNA from 1 species
GAUUUGGUCGGGUGGUCCGCUUAACGGCGUGUACUGUCUGGCUGGGUCUUACCUCUUGGUGAGCCGGCGUGCCCUUUAUUGGUGUGCGUCGGGGAACCAGGACUUUUACCUUGAGAAAAUUAGAGUGUUCAAAGCAGGCCUAUGCCUGAAUACAUUAGCAUGGAAUAAUAAAAUAGGACGUGCGGUUCUAUUUUGUUGGUUUCUAGAGUCGCCGUA